rnacentral:rRNA from 1 species
AUUGAACGCUGGCGGAAUGCUUUAUACAUGCAAGUCGAACGGCAGCACGGGGGCAGCCCUGGUGGCGAGUGGCGAACGGGUGAGUAAUACAUCGGAACGUGCCCGGUCGUGGGGGAUAACGUAGCGAAAGUUACGCUAAUACCGCAUACGAUCUGAGGAUGAAAGCGGGGGACCUUCGGGCCUCGCGCGAUCGGAGCGGCCGAUGUCAGAUUAGGUAGUUGGUGGGGUAAAGGCCUACCAAGCCGACGAUCUGUAGCUGGUCUGAGAGGACGACCAGCCACACUGGGACUGAGACACGGCCCAGACUCCUACGGGAGGCAGCAGUGGGGAAUUUUGGACAAAGGGCGCAAGCCUGAUCCAGCCAUUCCGCGUGCAGGACGAAGGCCUUCGGGUUGUAAACUGCUUUUGUACGGAACGAAAAGGCUCUGGCUAAUACCUGGGGCUCAUGACGGUACCGUAAGAAUAAGCACCGGCUAACUACGUG